UGGGGAAUAUUGCACAAUGGGCGCAAGCCUGAUGCAGCCAUGCCGCGUGUAUGAAGAAGGCCUUCGGGUUGUAAAGUACUUUCAGCGGGGAGGAAGGGAGUAAAGUUAAUACCUUUGCUCAUUGACGUUACCCGCAGAAGAAGCACCGGCUAACUCCGUGCCAGCAGCCGCGGUAAUACGGAGGGUGCAAGCGUUAAUCGGAAUUACUGGGCGUAAAGCGCACGCAGGCGGUUUGUUAAGUCAGAUGUGAAAUCCCCGGGCUCAACCUGGGAACAACAUCAGAUACUGGCAAGCUUGAGUCUCGUAGAGGGGGGUAGAAUUCCAGGUGUAGCAGUGAAAUGCGUAGAGAUCUGGAGGAAUACCGGUGGCGAAGGCGGCCCCCUGGACGAAGACUGACGCUCAGGUGCGAAAGCGUGGGGAGCAAACAGG
rnacentral:rRNA from 1 species